UCUGCCGAAAGUCGAUUCGUCUCGGGCGUCAUAUUUAUCAUACCGCACGGUUAGUGGUUGGUGGUUGGUAUCUCUCAAUUCUCAUCAUGGACUUCGGAUCACCCGAUCACCUUACCUGCUAUCUUUCCUUUCUUCGUCGUUCGUUCUUGCUUCACACCAAAUAAGAGGAAUAACACUUAUUCGCGUCACUGUAACAGAAAUAAAGAUCUAUCUUGAUUUUUCUCGCGAUGAACACCGAAUCAGUGAUCGAGUUCUUAGGUGCUGUUCCUUUGCUUCAGAGGCUUCCCGGCUCGUCUCUCAAGAAAAUUGCCGAACUCGUUACUGUUAAAAACUACGAGAAAGGGCAGUGUGUUAUUCGCGAGGGAGAGAUUGGGGAAGGAACCUAUUUCAUCUGGGAAGGGGAGGCCGAAGUUUCUGGAUCAGUUCAUUCUGAGAGAGACGCUCGUCCUGAGUUCCAAUUGCAACGAUAUGAUUACUUUGCUGAUGGUGUCAUCGCUUCUAUUCAGCAAGCAGAGGUUGUUGCUUUGACUAAGCUGACGUGCUUGCUGCUGCCCCAUGAACAUUGCACUUUACUUCGGCCGAAAUCAAUGUGGAGUGCUGAUAAGACUCCAGACUCAUGUUCGCUUGUGGAGAGUAUAUUGCAUUUGGAGCCAAUAGAAGUGAAUAUUUUCCAGUGUAUUACCUUGCCAGAUGCCCCAAAAUUUGGCAAGGUCUUUGGAGGACAGUUUGUUGGGCAGGCACUGGCUGCAGCAUCAAAGACUGUUGAUUGCCUUAAAAUUGUUCAUAGUUUACAUGCUUAUUUUCUUCUUGCUGGGGAUUUCAACAUGCCAAUUUUGUAUGAAGUUGACCGUGUACGUGAUGGUAAAAGUUUUGCCACCAGAAGAGUUAAUGCAAUACAAAAAGGGAAUGUUGUAUUCGCAUUGAUUGCUUCAUUUCAGAAAGAACAACUUGGGUUUGAUCACCAAGAAGUAACAAUGCCAAAUGUUCCAGAACCAGAGAUGCUUCUGUCAAUGGAGGAGCUUCGUGAGAGACGUCUAAUUGAUCCUCGUCUUCCAAGGAGCUAUCGGAACAAGGUGGCCUCAAAAGAUUUUGUCCCUUGGCCCAUAGAGAUAAGGUUUUGUGAGCCAACCACGAACACUAGUCAGACAAAAUCACCCCCAAGUUUGAGGUACUGGUUUAGAGCGAGAGGAAAACUUUCAGAUGACCGGGCAUUGCACAGAUGUGCAGCAGCGUAUGCUUCUGAUCUUUUAUUUCUUCAAGUUAGUUUGAAUCCCCACCGUGCAAAGGGUUUAAAGACAGCCCAUGUUAGUUUAGACCACUCUUUUACUUGUCCUUAAGGCUUUUUAGGGGGAAUGACUAGUUAGCCACUGAUGAGAGUUGGGCCCAGCUGGCUACCGUAGGCUUGUUGAGUUGGGGAGUGACUAGUUGGCCACCAACGAGAGUUAGGCCCAGCUGGCCACUGUAGACUUGUUGAGUCCCUGGAUUGUGCCUUCUCUUCUUGCAGGCGUUUUCCUGUCUGCAAGUUGGAAGAGUAUCAUUGUCAUGAUUAUUUUGAUUCAAUGCUCUAAGUGGAGAGUAUGCACAGCUACUAGCUAUAGCAUGCAUCAAUUCGGUUGCAAUGGAUUCUCUGGAGUUGGCAUUGCUCUUAAGAGUUAUGGCAUUUGAUCAACGUGAAGUUCCAUUAUAAGGUGCUGAUUUUCCAUCAUGGCUAAAAUUGAACAUCUCCUUUUGGAUUUGUUUUCGUUUCUCAGGAUGUGGUUUCACCGGCCAUUUAGAGCUGAUGACUGGAUAUUAUUUGUGAUUACGAGUCCUGCUGCCUCCCAUUGUCGCGGCUUUGUGUCUGGUCAAAUGUUUAAUAGAAAAGGGGAGCAUGUUGUAUCAUUGACGCAAGAGGGUCUGUUUAGAAAGGCUUCAUCAAACCCAGCCGCUGCCUCUAAGUUGUGAAUGGGUCAUGGUCCAGGGUGCACACACAGCUAAUUUGGCGAUGAAGUGCUGGUGAAACUAUUUUUAAUAAAAUCAGGACUAUCAGAAGUUUUGCUGCCCUUA